rnacentral:rRNA from 1 species
ACGUGGACAAUCUCGCCCCCCGGCCCGGGAUAGCCCAGGGAAACCUGGAUUAAUACCGGAUGAGACGGGACCCGCGAAGGCGGACCGGAAGGCGCUGCGGCGCCGCCGGGGGAUGAGUCUGCGUCCCAUUAGCUAGACGGCGGGGUAACGGCCCACCGUGGCGACGAUGGGUAGCCGGCCUGAGAGGGUGGACGGCCACAUUGGAACUGAGACACGGUCCAGACUCCUACGGGAGGCAGCAGCUAAGAAUCUUCCGCAAUGGGCGAAAGCCUGACGGAGCGACGCCCGCGUGAACGAAGAAGGCCGUGAGGUUGUAAAGUUCUUUUCGGGAGGGGGAACAACCGUGGCAGGGAAUGGCCGCGGGAUGACGUGAAUCCCGGAAUAAGCCCCGGCUAACUACGUGCCAGCAGCGGC